rnacentral:lncRNA from 1 species
UGUACAUUGGAAUGCUGUCAAAUACUAAGACCUGUAUCCUAUAUUUUUGUUUGUUGUUUUUGUAGUUAGGAACAUGAAAUUAGUGAAUAAUUGAUUUACUCACGACAUGAGAGUGAGUAAAUACAUACUGCAUUGUCUUCGUUUUAUUCAAGUGCGCAAGAGAAGUCACUCUGUAAUUUUAUUGUACUCAGGAACUGACUCAUGAAAAUUAGACAAUUAGUCUAUACGGACAUUUGACAUAGGGAUAGGACACCAGCACUUGAGAUGCAUUGUGUUUAAAAGCCGUCUUCUUAGAAUACCACACUUGUCUUCCUUGUUUUACUAUUUGUCAUAGUUAAAGACAAUUAGUCCAUACGGACUUUUGAAAUAGGGACAGGACACCAGCACUUGAGAUGCAUUGUGUUUAAACGCCGUUACUUCCAGUUAAUGAUCACGAAUUCUUCGAAAGAAGAAAUCUAAAUUUAGUGGAUUGUUCUCGAUCAUUUAAAGUCAACUGAGAUGAUUGUUUUCCCUUGAACGGAACAAGGGACUUCUAAAUAACGUAUUGGCUCUUGAGACAUCGCAUGUUGUAAAAUAUUUUAAUAUCUUAUUUCCUGAUAUAAAGAUGCAGAAGAAUUUUCGGAAGUAAACUAGUUAAAUACUUAUUAAAAGUCUAAUGUGUAAUUGUUGCUGACACCACUUGAUUAUUUAUAAUAUCAUUUACUUUUGUUUAAACUGUUACGCCCUGAAAUAUAUUUUUAUAAUACCGA